rnacentral:rRNA from 1 species
UACAGAGGUCUCAAGCGUUGUUCGGAUUCAUUGGGCGUAAAGGGUGCGUAGGCGGCGCGGUAAGUCGGGUGUGAAAUCUCGGAGCUUAACUCCGAAACUGCAUUCGAUACUGCCGUGCUUGAGGACUGGAGAGGAGACUGGAAUUUACGGUGUAGCGGUGAAAUGCGUAGAUAUCGUAAGGAAGACCAGUGGCGAAGGCGGGUCUCUGGGCAGUAACUGACGCUGGAGGAGCGAAAAGCGUGGGGAGCGAACAGG